UACAUAGGGGGCGAGCGUUGUCCGGAAUGACUGGGCGUAAAGGGUGCGUAGGUGGUGUAUCAAGUUGGAAGUGUAAUACCCAGGGCUUAACUCGGGUGCUGCUUCCAAAACUGAUUUACUUGAGUGUCGGAGGGGAAAGUGGAAUUCCUAGUGUAGCGGUGGAAUGCGUAGAUAUUAGGAGGAACACCGGUGGCGAAAGCGGCUUUCUGGACGACAACUGACACUGAGGCACGAAAGCGUGGGGAGCAAACAGGAUUAGAUACCCUGGUAGUCCACGCCGUAAACGAUGGAUACUAGGUGUAGGGGGUAUCGACUCCCCCUGUACCGUAGCAAACGCAUUAAGUAUCCCGCCUGAGUAGUACGGUCGCAAGGCUAAAACUCAAAGAAAUUGACGGGGACCCGCACAAGCAGCGGAGCAUGUGGUUUAAUUCGAUGCAACGCGAAGAACCUUACCAAGACUUGACAUCUAUAUGACCGCCUUCGAAAAAGGGCUUCUCUUCGGAGCAUAUAGACAGGUGGUGCACGGUU
rnacentral:rRNA from 1 species